rnacentral:lncRNA from 1 species
UGGAAUUUCAGAGUUCUAAAAUGAACCUAAAAAGUUACUUCAGCAUCCUUAGAAAUAAGUUGUUAAGGCAUGAACAUUUGAGUUCAUCCAAAGUGUUAUCAAAAGGUCUCAUCAAAUUAUUUUAUGUAGAAGAGCACCCAAAUGUUAUUUCUUGCUGUUCCUCUUCUUUUCCUCAAGAGAAAGAAGGUUGAAAACUGAAAAUGAUGAAGUUGAAGAAUGAAGUCAAUGAGUGUUAAGAAGAGAUUCAUUUAUCCUUGAACAGAAAUGAAAAAGUAGAGUGCUGGUGGUGAUCAUGUCUUCCCUUCACCCAUGGGGACUUUUCAUUUAUCGCUGCCACUCCAGCAUGUUCACUAUUCUCUGUAGCAUGAAAAUCUGAUAAAGCUCAUGAGGGGAGAGAAAACUUAACUUCAAUAUUUUCCUGCUGAGCCUGAGAGUGCUUUGUAUACCCUAGCAAGAUGAAAAUCUUAGCUGCAGCAUCAGGAAGAGGACACCUCACUUUAUCCUACAUUCCUAUCUCAGUCAGGAAAGUAGCUCUAGAGAAGGAACUAAGAAGUCAAGGCCUUUUGUGAAGUUGCUCUGUUAUCUCUGUGGCCCCAAAGACCAAAAUGAUGGAGAAAAUGAAACCAGGAUGAUUUCUGACAUCUGCUUCCACUCCACCUUCUUUAACCACUUCAUCCACAUCUCUCUUAGCUUCUCACAUAAGUCUCACCUGGAAUCAUCUUAUUUACACCAAUAAAUUUACCUACCACCUGCCUGUUGAUUGCCAAA